rnacentral:rRNA from 1 species
UACGUAGGGGCCUAGCGUUGUCCGGAUUUAUUGGGCGUAAAGAGCUCGUAGGCGGUUUGGUGAGUCGGGUGUGAAAUCUCGGAGCUUAACUCCGAAACUGCAUUCGAUACUGCCGUGCUUGAGGACUGGAGAGGAGACUGGAAUUUACGGUGUAGCGGUGAAAUGCGUAGAUAUCGUAAGGAAGACCAGUGGCGAAGGCGGGUCUCUGGACAGUUCCUGACGCUGAGGCACGAAGGUCGGGGGAGCAAACGGG